GCGAGGUUGCUGGGGGGUGUUUACUCGUGUAACUGAAAUAAGUCACAAUGGAGGUUUCAACAACCUGAAUGGAGAUGUAGAUGUUGGGGCUGAGGUGAAAAGCCCACAGGCUGUGAGUGAAGGAGGAGAAGCGGUGUGUUAAAGCAGCCUGGGACUGUGUGGGCUAGGGCAGCUUCAGGAGCUGCAUCUCACGCUUUUUAGCUUUUAGCUGAGGACUUAAGCGGAUGUCCCUUUCCAAUUCAAACGUCUUUUUGCUAAAAGAGGUUAGUUCGGUUUUUCACUGUGUUUGUUGCUGUAAGGAAAUAACAUGGAGAGAGAGAGAGAGAGAGAGAGAGAGAGAGAGAGAGAGAAGUGUAAAGUGGAUGAGCAUGGCAUUUCUCUACCAGCAAGAUGGAAAUGGUCUUUAAUCUUCGUGUGUAUUCAUGUUGUGGUCACUUAAUAUACGUUGAUAUUCCUCUCAUAAAUAAAUGUAUCAAAUUGCACUUUUCCAUCAUCAAAUCUACAUUUUUUUAUUUUACCUAUAUUUAUCGUUCACAUAAGAUCGUGCAUGUGGUGUAUCUUGAAGGUACAACAGCGGUGCUUAAGGUAAAAGUAUGUAAAGAGUACUUUUUAAAGAGUGCACUAUAUUCACAUUUUCAGGUAGGACAAACAUACUAAAGGUACAAAGGUAGAACCACAAGGUUCUACACCGGGUCACAGGGAGCCUGGAGCCUGUCGCAGGGAACUCGGGACACAGCGAGGGACACCCUUGACAAGGUGCCAACCCACCCAUCGCAGGGUACAAGUGUACACACAUCCACACACACGGACAUGUCUUUGGACUGGCAGAGGAAACCGGAGUACCUUGAGGAAACCUCAGAAGCACGGGGAGAACAUGCAAAUGCUGUGCACACAGGACAGAGGUGGGAUUCGAGCACCCAACCCCCUGGAGAUGCGAGGCAAACGUGCUAACC
ensembl:lncRNA